GGUUUAGCUCAGCGGCAUAAGCACCUGCCUUGCAAGCAGGUAGUUGUGGGUUCAAUUCCCGGUACCG
rnacentral:tRNA from 1 species